rnacentral:rRNA from 1 species
GUGAGGAAUAUUGGACAAUGGGCGAAAGCCUGAUCCAGCCAUGCCGCGUGUGUGAAGAAGGUCUUCGGAUUGUAAAGCACUUUAAGUUGGGAGGAAGGGCAGUAAGUUAAUACCUUGCUGUUUUGACGUUACCGACAGAAUAAGCACCGGCUAACUUCGUGCCAGCAGCCGCGGUAAUACGAAGGGUGCAAGCGUUAAUCGGAAUUACUGGGCGUAAAGCGCGCGUAGGUGGUUUUGUAAGUUGGAGGUGAAAUCCCCGGGCUCAACCUGGGAACUGCCUCCAAAACUGCAUGACUAGAGUACGGUAGAGGGUAGUGGAAUUUCCUGUGUAGCGGUGAAAUGCGUAGAUAUAGGAAGGAACACCAGUGGCGAAGGCGACUACCUGGACUGAUACUGACACUGAGGUGCGAAAGCGUGGGGAGCAAACAGGAUUAGAAACCCCGGUAGUCC